UGUUGUAUAUAUGUUGGUACUGUAUAAGCUUUUGUGUGCAUGCACACGGCUUCAGAUAAGAACUUCUUCGUAUCUGAAGAAGUGUGCAUGCACACGAAAGGUUAUACCAAGAACAAAUUUAGUUGG